GUUUUGAUUAUAACAUUUUUCGCAUAUGCUAGCUACCAUGCUGCUCGAAAAACCACAAGCAUUGUCAAGAGUACCCUUGAUCCUCAAUCAACUGAGGUGGGUUUGAAGUUCAUUCCUUGGAGGAUAACUUACUUAAGUGAACCAGAAGAAAGGAGAGGAUUUUCAUGGGCACUUGGAGAUGGUUGGACUCCAUUUAAUGGAUCAGACGGCACAGCCUUGCUAGGUGAUCUUGACCUGGCUUUUCUCUCUAUAUAUGCCAUAGCAAUGUAUUUCUCUGGACAUAUAGGUGACAGGG
rnacentral:misc_RNA from 1 species